UGAUGAUUUUGUGUUAUCAACAUUAUUCAGUGGAUCUCCUAAGAAUGGAACUAUCGUACCAUGGAUAAUUGCCGUGGCUGUUGCUGUGGGACUUCUCCUCUUGGGUCUGGUGAUCGCUGGACUUGUCAAGGCCGGCUUUUUCAAGAGGACGACUAAAGAAGAAUUAGAAGCACUCAAAGAGGCUGAUCAGAGUGCACCAGGAAUAAGUGAAGAGGAAGCUUUAGCGCACAGCCAUGAUGUUGAAAACUCAUCCGAAAAAGAAGAAGCUUAAACUGUGUUGAAUGCAAUUUCAAGUUGUAAAAUUUUUGUGCUUUUUGUAUAUAGAUAUCUACAAAUAUUUCGCAGAAGAAGUUUAAGAAUGUUUGAGAAUAUUUGAAAUCAAGAGAAAGUUGUGUCAUAAUCAUAAACGUAUUUAGAUCAUAAGUAGUAAACAUUCAAAUAUCACUUAAGUAGUGUAAAUAUGAGACUGAAAGUGAACGAUUAAGCAUUUUUAUAUUUAAAGUCAUAUAAUUUAUUUCUAAGAUAUAGAUAUAGAAUAUCUGUGAUGAAUAAAUUCCAAACGUUAUAUUAUAAAUUAUUAAUAAAUCAAUUCUAUAUAAAA